rnacentral:rRNA from 1 species
GACGUAGGGGGCAAGCGUUGUCCGGAAUCAUUGGGCGUAAAGCGCUCGUAGGUGGAUCGGUAAGUCUGCAAAGAAAGACCCGGGCUCAACUCGGGGAACGGUGUGGAUACUACCGAUCUUGAGGCAAUCAGAGGAUGAUGGAAUUCCCGGUGUAGCGGUGAAAUGUGUAGAGAUCGGGAGGAACACCAGUGGCGAAGGCGAUCAUCUGGGGUUGUUCUGACACUGAGGAGCGAAAGCUAGGGGAGCAAACGGG